CUGUCUCUAAGUUUAAAAAUUAUUUGUCUACACAAGAGCAAGCUGAUUGCAGGGAAGAUCAUCCCAGCCAUUGCCACAACCACAGCAGCUGUGGUUGGCUUUGUGUGUCUGGAGCUGUACAAGGUAGUGCAGGGGCACCGACAGCUUGAUUCUUACAAGAAUGGCUUCCUCAACUUGGCCCUGCCCUUCUUUGGUUUCUCUGAACCCCUUGCUGCACCACGUCACCAGUACUAUAACCAGGAGUGGACAUUGUGGGAUCGCUUUGAGGUACAGGGACUGCAGCCUAACGGUGAGGAGAUGACCCUCAAACAGUUCCUUGACUACUUUAAGACAGAGCACAAAUUAGAGAUCACCAUGCUGUCCCAGGGCGUAUCCAUGCUCUAUUCUUUCUUCAUGCCAGCCGCCAAGCUCAAAGAACGGUUGGAUCAGCGGAUGACAGAGAUUGUAAGCCGUGUGUCGAAGCGAAAGCUGGGCCACCAUGUGCGGGCGCUGGUGCUUGAGCUGUGCUGCAACGACAAGAGCGGCGAGGACGUCGAGGUCCCCUAUGUACUACGAUACACCAUCCGCUGACCCCCAUCUGCUCCUCUAGGCUGGCCCCAGUCCACCCUUCUCCAGACCCCUUCCAGCCCAGGGCUCCUGUUUGGUUUCUGGCAAUGGCCCACCUAGCCAAGCCUGGUGUUCCCUUGUCAUCCCCCUACCUGAACCCCUCCUGCCACUGCUUUCUACCUUGUUUGGAAUCCGAAUCCUAAUAAAGAAUUAUUAACCCUGAAAAAAAAA